GCAGCGGUCGUACAACGGCUAGUAUAUCAGCCUUCCAAGCUGAGGAUGAGGUUUCGACUACCUUUCGCUGCUCCA
rnacentral:tRNA from 2 species